AUGCAACUGUAGAAACUGUUGAUGCCCAGAAUGAGAAGGUUGGGAAUCGAAGUAUUCUUCAAUACUUAGCUGAUAAAGGACGUGAAAUGGCCCUUCGUCGUGCAUUAGAAAUAUCAAAUACGCGGGUGAAUUUGAAAGAUGAGCUUGGUGGCAAUACUCCUCUUCAUUUUUUACUUCGAGGUGACCACUCAUUCCACGUUCAUCAAGAUUCUGUGAAUGCAUUAAUACAAGCUGGAGCGAACAGUAGCAUAAAAAAUGAG